rnacentral:rRNA from 1 species
UAGGGAAUCUUCAGCAAUGGACGAAAGUCUGACCGAGCAACGCCGCGUGAGUGAAGAAGGUUUUCGGAUCGUAAAACUCUGUUGGUAGAGAAGAACGUUGGUGAGAGUGGAAAGCUCAUCAAGUGACGGUAACUACCCAGAAAGGGACGGCUAACUACGUGCCAG